UGGCUCGAGGACGAACGCUGGCGGCGUGCUUCAUACAUGCAAGUCGAACGAUAAGGCACCUUCGGGUGUACAUAAGUGGCGGACGGGUGAGUAAUAUGUAGAGAAUCUGCCCUAGAGAGUGGGACAACAGUUGGAAACGACUGCUAAUACCGCAUAUGAGCGUACCUGAAAUGGUAUUCUUGAAAACUCCGGUGCUCUGGGAUGAGUCUGCAUCUGAUUAGCUAGUUGGGGGUGUAAUGGACCACCAAGGCGACGAUCAGUAGCUGGUUUGAGAGGAUGAUCAGCCACAAUGGGACUGAGACACGGCCCAUACUCCUACGGGAGGCAGCAGUAGGGAAUUUUGCGCAAUGGGGGAAACCCUGACGCCAGCAACGCCGCGUGACCGAUGAAGCCCUUCGGGGUGUAAAGGUCUGUCAGUGGGGACGAAUAUUGACGGUACCCACAGAGGAAGCAUCGGCUAACUCCGUGCCAGCCGCUGC
rnacentral:rRNA from 1 species